AUGCACUGCUCUAUUUGUGGGAGGGCUGAUCACAACAGAAAGGGGCAUUACAGAUGGCAGGAGGCUCUCAUUGCAGAAGGGGUAGAGGAGGUUGAUGAGAACUAUGAUGACCCAACAUUUCUUCAGAACAUCUUCCCUAACCAGCCAGAUCCUUUACUGGAUCCAAUUGGCACACCAUUCAGUAUGGUCUACAACAUGACUCAGAGAGAGCUUGCAAUAAGAGCUCCUCAGAGGGUUCAUGGGCCACUGCCUGAGCAAUCUGCAUUUGUUGCUGCUGCUGGUGCUGCAAUACCUCAGCCAAGGAUCACUACAGAAAUGAACAUAGGUAGACGGACAAGGGCAACCACAAUAGCUGACAGAGGAGAAGGAUCUGGUAGGGGAAGAGGAAGAAAAAGACAAAGAAAUCCAGAAGCAGGCAGAGGGUCAAAUUCAGUUGCAGGUAGAGGAAGAGGGUCAAAUUCAGUUGCAGGUAGAGGAAGAGGAGCAAAUGCAAAUGCAGGUAGAGGAAGAGGAGCAAAUGCAAAUGCAGGUAGAGGAAGAGGAGCAAAUGCAAAUGCAGGUAGAGGAAGAGCAGCAAUGCCAUUUGCAGGGAGAGGAGGAUCAAUGCCAUUUGCAGGGAGAGGAGGAGCAAUGCCAUUUCCAGGGAGAGGAGGAGCAAUGCCAUUUCCAGGGAGAGGAGGAGCAAUGCCAUUUGGAGGAUGGAGAUGGCUUCUGUUUGGAGAUCAGAGGACAAUUCCUGAUCUCAAUGCUCCUGCUGAUGGUUUGAUGGCACCACAUCAGUGA
rnacentral:rRNA from 1 species